GGGCCCAUAGUUCAGCUGGCAGAAUGCCGCAUUCGCAUUGCGGAGCUCGGCGGUUCGACUCCGCCUGGGUCCA
rnacentral:tRNA from 1 species